rnacentral:pre_miRNA from 1 species
UUCUGCCUGGCUCCCUGUAUGCCAUCUAAGAACAGAGAUGUCAAAAUUGUUGACACUCAUCCUAGGUGGCAUCAGAGGAGUCAGGCAGAU